GCCCCCAGAUAAAUAACCCUCACUGUGCUGUAACUGACACUCUUCAGCCUUGCCUCCUCCAGGAAGGAUCACACUCUCCCUGCAUUUCUGUCUGGAGCAGACACCUGGCCUAAAGAGACAAAUAAUCUACCUAAGACCUUAAGGACUGUAUGAUUAAGAGGUCAGAAAAUGGACUUCCUUGUCUCAACCCUGAUUUUAAAAGCCAUGGCAUCAACGAAGCGCGUUCAUUCCAGAAGCAGAAGGCAGCUAGAUCUCCAGGAGAAGCUGACCAACAUGGGGUUGUCUGUUGACUACUGGCUGCCUAAGCUUCAGAAAGACCUGGGUGUGACUAGUGCCCUGGACUUACAACACUUAGGAGAA